UUCCCCAUAGCAGCCGCACAACCUCUCCUCUCUUUUCCUUCUCUGUACACUUUUCCUCUUUUUCUCUCUAAAAACCAGAACCACCGUCGGCCACCAUGGCUAGUUAAUGCACCAGCAGCUGCUGGAGCAACCGCCGCCCUCAUCCUUUUUUCUCUCCCUCCAGUGAAACCCCGCCGGCCAGUCAUCAGCAAAACCCCUCCCAACUAAUAAUACGCCGCAUGCAACCACCGACGAACCCCCUCUUCUCUGUUCUUUUUUCCACUGGCUAAGCAUCGUUGAACGGAUAACAACACCAGACAGCCGCCGCUCCAGACAGAGGAACCCACCCCAAUUGACUCUUCCAACAGCCCCGUUGAAAAGCUUACCGCCUUUCAUCACUGCUCCAUGCUCCUUUCCCAGUGCCUCCAUCUUGUGAAUCAGCCACCUCCAGCCAUUCAUGGCUACCUCUUCCAUCUAUAAUCAUCGCCUCUCUAUCCGCCACCCCGAUGCUCCUUCAUGUUCCAUCUCUUCUUCAACCAAACAAAAUGACGACGAUAACAAAAAUCACAGUGACGAAAUCAUGCAAGUGCAUGGUGGAUUCAUAUCUGUCUUAGGUUUGUUUAUGUUUAAUUUUUAGCCUAAAACCUCUUCUACCCUUUUCCAAAGUUUUUGACAGAUUCCAUGAUUAAAAUUUGUAAGAAUUGAUUGAGAAUUGCAUCAAAAUUCUUGACGAUUGGAGUUUGUUUAGUCAACUAUGAUAUCAUAGAGUUUUAUUAUUCAAUUGAAGAAUUUUAGUAUGUGAUUUUGACAUGAUAAGUUUGGUUUACCAUUUGAGCUGAUUAACUCGUAUAUCUGUUCCCUCUCUAAUUGAUUUGUUCUCUUUAUUCAAAUGGCUUGGCAUUUAGCUGAUUUUGUUAGCUUCUAUUUUGGUGGAGUUUCUUCCAAGCCCUGGUGCUCAACGGUGGAACUUCUUUCGAAUUUAUUUGAUCUUCAUGUUUAUAGUAGGAAAUCUUCGUUAAUUGGUUAUUUCAAAUAUUCUUUUAUUUCUUUGGCAGAACUUUACACGAUUUCAUACUAUUAAUUGUGUUAGUCAAAAAGGAAAUUGGAGUGAUUGAUAUUUUCUUUUCCUUUAUUUUAUUGAAUAGAUUGAAUAGAUCUUAUUCUUAGGGAAAUCUCCUUGGCUGAUCGCAUUGAAUAUUUGUUUCCCUUUUAUUGCCCUGAUUAUAUUUUGCCUAAUCUGUCAUUAUUGAUUGAUACAAGUGUUUAUGGUUAGUUGUCAAUAGCGGGUAGAUUUUGACAGAUGGUAUGGGAAUAUUUAUGGUCAUUUAAUACAUUUUUCUUCCCCUUGAUUGAUUGAGUUUACUGAUUUUUCUUAGAAUAUUGUGGUUUCCUUUUUUGAUGCUAAUUGAUUCUUACAUUUUUUCCCUUUUAACUCUUUAUGGUUUCCACUAUAUAAAAUAUACCCUUUCUUAUUAUUACAUUCACUCCGAAUCCCCUCUGCUCUCUCGCAUAUACAAAGGACAAAGCUUUUUCACUUUCCUCUUCUUUUAAACAAUUUUACACACUAUAUUCUCUAUAAUUUGCAAUCUCUACACUCCCUCGUACAAAAGUUACUUGAUUUUUUUUUCUGAGUUGCAUUUUUACCUUCGGAGGUUUGGUCUCAAUCUGUCCAUGGCAAUUCGUGUUGACUUUUAUUAUUAUUAGGUUUUCUUAUUAAAGCCGGUUAUCAUCAAUCGGUAAGUCCCUGACGACGUAGUUUUCUUUAUUGAUGAUGCUAGUAAACAUGUUUCUAGAAAUUAUUCGGUGUUUGCUUGCUAUGUCUGUGUUGUGUUAUAUUUUCGCUUGUACUUCUAGUACAUAUUGUUUCACAGGUGUAAGUAGACAGUUUCGGGAAUUUGAAAAGUCGCUGGAAUAUUAGGGAGGGGGAUGCACUUUCCUUUUCUUUUAUUUAGUUGUUUAUUUUAAUUCAUUGUGUUGUAACAAUUUUUGUAAACCUUUAUUAUGUAAUAAUAAUAAUUGGAACUACUCGGGGG
rnacentral:lncRNA from 1 species